rnacentral:rRNA from 1 species
GAUCGCAUGAUCAGCUUUUGAAAGGCGGCGUAAGCUGUCGCUAAGGGAUGGCCCCGCGGUGCAUUAGCUAGUUGGUAAGGUAACGGCUUACCAAGGCGACGAUGCAUAGCCGAGUUGAGAGACUGAUCGGCCACAUUGGGACUGAGACACGGCCCAAACUCCUACGGGAGGCAGCAGUAGGGAAUCUUCCACAAUGGACGCAAGUCUGAUGGAGCAACGCCGCGUGAGUGAAGAAGGUUUUCGGAUCGUAAAGCUCUGUUGUUGGUGAAGAAGGAUAGAGGUAGUAACUGGCCUUUAUUUGACGGUAAUCAACCAGAAAGUCACGGCUAACUACGUGCCAGCAGCCGCGGUAAUACGUAGGUGGCAAGCGUUGUCCGGAUUUAUUGGGCGUAAAGCGAGCGCAGGCGGAAAAAUAAGUCUAAUGUGAAAGCCCUCGGCUUAACCGAGGAACUGCAUCGGAAACUGUUUUUCUUGAGUGCAGAAGAGGAGAGUGGAACUCCAUGUGUAGCGGUGGAAUGCGUAGAUAUAUGGAAGAACACCAGUGGCGAAGGCGGCUCUCUGGUCUGCAACUGACGCUGAGGCUCGAAAGCAUGGGUAGCGAACAGGAUUAGAUACCCUGGUAGUCCAUGCCGUAAACGAUGAGUGCUAAAGUGUGGGGAGGUUUCCGCCUCUCAGUGCUGCAGCUAACGCACUAAGCACUCCGCCUGGGGAGUACGACCGCAAGGUUGAAACUCAAAGGAAUUGACGGGGGCCCGCACAAGCGGUGGAGCAUGUGGUUUAAUUCGAAGCAACGCGAAGAACCUUACCAGGUCUUGACAUCUAGUGCAAUCUGUAGAGAUACGGAGUUCCCUUCGGGGACGCUAAGACAGGUGGUGCAUGGCUGUCGUCAGCUCGUGUCGUGAGAUGUUGGGUUAAGUCCCGCAACGAGCGCAACCCUCGUUAUUAGUUGCCAGCACUAAGUUGGGCACUCUAAUGAGACUGCCGGUGACAAACCGGAGGAAGGUGGGGAGGACGUCAAGUCAUCAUGCCCCCUAUGACCUGGGCUACACACGUGCUACAAUGGGCAGUACAACGAGAAGCAAGCCUGCGAAGGCAAGCGAAUCUCUGAAAGCUGUUCUCAGUUCGGACUGCAGUCUGCAACUCGACUGCACGAAGCUGGAAUCGCUAGUAAUCGCGGAUCAGCACGCCGCGGUGAAUACGUUCCCGGGCCUUGCACACACCGCCCGUCA